GAUGAACGCUGGCGGCGUGCCUAAUACAUGCAAGUCGAGCGAACAGACGAGGAGCUUGCUCCUCUGACGUUAGCGGCGGACGGGUGAGUAACACGUGGAUAACCUACCUCUAAGACUGGGAUAACUUCGGGAAACCGGAGCUAAUACCAGAUAAUAUAUUCAACCGCAUGGUUCAAUAGUGAAAGACGGUUUUGCUGUCACUUAUAGAUGGAUCCGCGCCGGAUUAGCUAGUUGGUAAGGUAACGGCUUACCAAGGCAACGAUGCGUAGCCGAUCUGAGAGGGUGAUCGGCCACACUGGAACUGAGACACGGUCCAGACUCCUACGGGAGGCAGCAGUAGGGAAUCUUCGGCAAUGGGCGAAAGCCUGACGGAGCAACGCCGCGUGAGUGAUGAAGGUCUUCGGAUCGUAAAACUCUGUUAUUAGGGAAGAACAAAUGUGUAAGUAACUAUGCACGUCUUGACGGUACCUAAUCAGAAAGCCCCGGCUAACUACGUG
rnacentral:rRNA from 1 species